ensembl:snoRNA
UGCUUUUCUUUUGUCAUUUCACUUUUGGAAACUGGUGAAUGUGGUGUAAAUAAGGCAUAAUUAAUGCUUUGCAGCCUUUUACUACCCUUAAAUUUUAUAUCUUUGAUGUAGGACCUGUGUAAGGAAGAGAU